rnacentral:rRNA from 1 species
UACGAAGGGUGCAAGCGUUAAUCGGAAUUACUGGGCGUAAAGCGCACGUAGGCGGCUUUGUAAGUUAGAGGUGAAAGCCCGGGGCUCAACUCCGGAAUUGCCUUUAAGACUGCAUCGCUUGAAUUGUGGAGAGGUAAGUGGAAUUCCGAGUGUAGAGGUGAAAUUCGUAGAUAUUCGGAAGAACACCAGUGGCGAAGGCGACUUACUGGACACAUAUUGACGCUGAGGUGCGAAAGCGUGGGGAGCAAACAGG